GUUAGGAAUAUUGGACAAUGGGCGCAAGCCUGAUCCAGCCAUGCCGCGUGAGUGAUGAAGGCCUUCGGGUUGUAAAGCUCUUUAGCCGAUGAUUAUAAUGACUGUAGUCGGAAAAUAAGCCCCGGCUAACUUCGUGCCAGCAGCCGCGGUAAUACGAAGGGGGCGAGCGUUAUUCGGAAUCACUGGGCGUAAAGCGUGCGUAGGCGGCUUUGCAAGUUGGGAGUGAAAGCCCAGGGCUCAACCCUGGAAUUGCUCUCAAAACUGCAAGGCUCGAAUUCGGGAGAGGAUAGCGGAAUAGUCAGUGUAGCAGUGAAAUGCGUAGAUAUUGACAGGAACACCAGUGGCGUAAGCGGCUAUCUGGACCGAUAUUGACGCUGAGGCACGAAAGCGUGGGGAUCAAACAGGAUUAGAAACCCGGGUAGUCC
rnacentral:rRNA from 1 species